GGGGACGUAGCUCAGUUGGCAGAGCGCCUGCUUUGCACGCAGGAGGUCGUCGGUUCAAUUCCGACCGUCUCCACCA
rnacentral:tRNA from 1 species